UAACAAGAAGCUUGCGGAAUCAUGAAUGUUUCCUACUGAACACUGCCCCAGAGCUGCCUCUUCCUCAGCACAAGGCAAAGUGGAGAUUUGGCAAUCAGAGGGCAGAUUUCUCUGGGGUGACACUGUAGCUGCUUAACUGCAUAUGCAAGCUACCUGCUUUCCCAGGCAUGAGUGUAAAGGAAGAACAAUUCUCAUCAGAUUGAUCACUGUCAGUGUAUGGAAGUGCAACUGAUUUUUGAGCUUUGACUUUGUAUCCUGCUACUUUGCUGGGUUUAUUAGUUCUAACAGUUUUUUGGUCGAAUCCUUAGGAUUUUCUACAUAUAAGAUUAUAUUAUCUCUAAACAGAGAUAAUGCAAGUUCUGAAUGAAAAAAAUAAAGUGAUGUUUACUAUUCUAUAGUGACUUGUUGAGGCUCCACAAAUGAUAUGGCCAGUCCUGCUUGGGACACUUCAUUGUUAAGAGAUCUGGUAGAGAAGAAGCCUUCAUGAAAGCAGACUCAGAAAGAAUAACUAAUGAGGUUCAAGCAAUUCUCCUGCCUCAGCCUCCCGAGUAGCUGGGAUUACAGGCCUGCAUCACCAUGUCCAGGGGUGACGUGGUUUAUUUAUGACUAUGAGUGGCUGAGCUGGUUGGAGGAAGUAUUAUCUAACAACUCUGCAAAGGAGGUGGAACUACCGGCCCCAUUCUUCAGAUGAGAAAACUGAGACACAGAGACACUGAAGUGACUUGCCCACAGUCAAAGAAGUAAGAAAAGGCUGAGCUGGAAAUCAAACCCAGGCUCAUCUGCCUUUGGAGGCCUCAUUCUCAAAGACUGCCUCCUACACUCAGUGAUCAGAAGAACUAGAGACUCCCCGUGGACAAGAUGUUUACACUGCGACCAAAGCAUGGGUAGGAACUGAGUGGUGGUAAGGGAGACCCAGAUAGAGAGAGGGCUCCAGGCAGAUGAGAAAGAGCUGGAAGCUGCAGAAGGGAGGACAUGGCUGAAGUCUCCGGUAUGCAGCAGGGGAAGGGAAGGUGACAAGAGAGAGAUGGGCAGCAGGCACAAUGUGCAGGAAAAUCACUGUGAGAAAGACGGCAAGUCUGGGGCGCCCUCAAGAACAUCUGCACCUAGAUCUUAAGGAAGGCGAAUGGUAGUGAUGGGAACAGGGGUGUGGGGUCAGAAUUCCUCUUAGGAACUAUCUGGGGCUCCCAUAGUUAUUCUCAUCACAGCACCUCUCUCACUGCUUUGCAGUUGUCUCUGCCCCCACUGAACAGUAUGCCCUGCAGGACUAUCUUCAUAUUUCAUAUUUAGCUCAGCUUCCUGGCAGCCAAGACAAAGAGAACACAUUCCUGUCUGGGGACUCUACAAAAUUUCCAUGCCAUCCUCUGUGACAGAAUCCCCACAAUCUGCCUGUGCCUCGCUGUGGCUCUCCGUCAUGCUCUUCCAGGUUGGUCCCCACUCUGCUGCUGCUACAGAAGGCCCAGAGGUGACAUCAGUCCAUUUUCUUCAAAUGGCCAGAAGGUUGUUGGCCUGGACAGCAGGAAGCGUGUAUUUCGUGGAGAGAAUUUAAUUUAUGCCUAAAUGUUAAGUCAACAGCAACAUAUGGACAGACAUUUUUACUUAAACAACCAAUAGCAAUGUAACCUCUGCAUAAAAACAGUGUGGGCCCCGGAAGGAACCGCUCCCUUGUGGAACUCUUCAGUGUCUAAUGAAGGCCGUGUUCAUAUUCUUUUUUUUU